rnacentral:rRNA from 1 species
AACGCUGGCGGCGUGCCUAAUACAUGCAAGUCGAGCGGCAGCACGGUCUUCGGACUGGUGGCGAGCGGCGGACGGCUGAGUAACGCGUAGGAAUAUACCCCAAAGUGAGGGAUAACUGCCCGAAAGGGUGGCUAAAUACCGCAUGUGGUCUUCGGACUAAAGCCUUCGGGCGCUUUGGGAAUAGCCUGCGUAAGAUUAGCUAGUUGGUGAGGUAAUGGCUCACCAAGGCGACGAUCUUUAGCUGGUCUGAGAGGAUGACCAGCCAAACUGGAACUGAGACACGGUCCAGACUCCUACGGGAGGCAGCAGUAGGGAAUUUUCCACAAUGGGCGAAAGCCUGAUGGAGCAACGCCGCGUGCAGGAUGAAGGCCCUCGGGUCGUAAACUGUCUUUUAUGUGCGAAGAAUAUGACGGUAACACAUGAAUAAGGGUCGGCUAACUACGUG